rnacentral:rRNA from 1 species
GAACGCGAAGAACCUUACCAAGGCUUGACAUGCACGGCGGCACUGCAGAGAUGUGGUGGCAUUUAGUUGGUCGUGUGCAGGUGGUGCAUGGUUGUCGUCAGCUCGUGUCGUGAGAUGUUGGGUUAAGUCCCGCAACGAGCGCAACCCUUGCCCUAUGUUGCCAGCACGUUAUGGUGGGGACUCGUGGGGGACUGCCGGGGUUAACUCGGAGGAAGGUGGGGAUGACGUCAAAUCAUCAUGCCCCUUAUGUCUUGGGCUUCACGCAUGCUACAAUGGCUGGUGCAGAGGGUUGCGAUACUGUGAGGUGGAGCGAAUCCCUUAAAGCCGGUCUCAGUUCGGAUUGGGGUCUGCAACUCGACCCCAUGAAGGUGGAGUCGCUAGUAAUCGCAGAUCAGCAACGCUGCGGUGAAUACGUUCUCGGGUCUUGUACACACC